rnacentral:rRNA from 1 species
UACAGAGGAGCCAAGCGUUGUCCGGAAUUAUUGGGCGUAAAGGGCUCGUAGGCGGUUUGUCGCGUCGGGAGUGAAAACGCCGUGCUUAACACGGCGCUUGCUUUCGAUACGGGCAGACUAGAGGUAUUCAGGGGAGAACGGAAUUCCUGGUGUAGCGGUGAAAUGCGCAGAUAUCAGGAGGAACACCGGUGGCGAAGGCGGUUCUCUGGGAAUGACCUGACGCUGAGGAGCGAAAGUGUGGGGAGCGAACAGG